GCGCUGGUAGUUCAUCGGUAGAAUACUAGUUUUCCAAGCUGGGGAGUCGGGUUCAACUCCCGGCCAGCGCA
rnacentral:tRNA from 1 species